rnacentral:rRNA from 1 species
AUACGGAGGGUGCAAGCGUUAAUCGGAAUUACUGGGCGUAAAGCGCGCGUAGGUGGUUAUGUCAGUCGGGUGUGAAAGCCUCGGGCUCAACCUGGGAACUGCAUCCGAUACUGCAUAGCUAGAGUCUGGUAGAGGGAAGUGGAAUUCCACAUGUAGCGGUGAAAUGCGUAGAUAUGUGGAGGAACACCAAUGGCGAAGGCAGCUUCCUGGACCAAGACUGACACUGAGGUGCGAAAGCGUGGGGAGCAAACAGCAUUAGAAACCCCGGUAGUCC